rnacentral:rRNA from 1 species
UACGGAGGGUGCGGGCGUUGUCCGGAAUCAUUGGGCGUAAAGGGCGCGUAGGUGGCCUGUGCAAGCGUGCGGUGAAAGCUCGGGGCUCAACCCCGAGUCGGCCGUGCGAACUGCUGGGCUCGAGCACUGUAGAGGCAGGCGGAAUUCCGGGUGUAGCGGUGGAAUGCGUAGAGAUCCGGAAGAACACCGGUGGCGAAGGCGGCCUGCUGGGCAGUGGCUGACACUGAGGCGCGACAGCGUGGGGAGCAAACAGG